CCCUUAGAUGUUCUGGGCCGCACGCGUGCUACACUGAGUGGAUCAGCGGGUCAGGUUGCGCGAAAGUGUUUCCUAAUCUUGAAAUCCGCUCGUGAUGGGGAUUGACGGUUGCAAUUUUCCGUCAUGAACGAGGAAUACCUUGUAAGCGCGGGUCAUCAUCCCGCGCUGAAUACGUCCCUGCCCUUUGUACACACCGCCCGUCGCUGCUACCGAUUGGUUGAUCUGGUGAAUUAUUCGGACUGCCGGCUGAAGGGGUUUCCUCAUCUGCCAGCGGAAAGUCUUGUUAACCCUAUCAACUAGAGGAAGCAGAAGUCGUAACA
rnacentral:rRNA from 1 species